rnacentral:rRNA from 1 species
CCUACGGGUGGCAGCAGUGGGGAAUAUUGCACAAUGGAGGAAAGUCUGAUGCAGCGACGCCGCGUGAGGGAGGAAGGAUUUCGGUAUGGAAAGCUCUAUUAGUAGGGAAGAAAAUGACGGUACGUGACUAAGAAUCCCUGGCUAACGUCGUGCCAGCAGCCGCGGUAAUACGUAGGGGGCAAGCGUUAUCCGGAUUUACUGGGUGUAAAGGGAGCGUAGACGGUUAAUCAAGUCAGAAGUGAAAGCCCAUGGCUCAACCGUGGGACUGCAUUUGACACUGGGCAGCUAGAGUGCAGGAGAGGUAAGCGGAAUUCCUAGUGUAGCGGUGAAAUGCGUAGAUAUUAGGAGGAACACCAGUGGCGAAGGCGGCUUACUGGACUGUAACUGACGUUGAGGCUCGAAAGCGUGGGGAGCAAACAGGAUUAGAUACCCGAGUAGUC